CUCCAGACUCCUACGGGAGGCAGCAGUGGGGAAUAUUGCACAAUGGGGGAAACCCUGAUGCAGCGACGCCGCGUGAGUGAAGAAGUAUUUCGGUAUGUAAAGCUCUAUCAGCAGGGAAGAAAAUGACGGUACCUGAUUAAGAAGCCCCGGCUAACUACGUGCCAGCAGCCGCGGUAAUACGUAGGGGGCAAGCGUUAUCCGGAUUUACUGGGUGUAAAGGGAGCGUAGACGGCUGUGCAAGCCAGAUGUGAAAGCCCGGGGCUCAACCCCGGGACUGCAUUUGGAACUGUGUGGCUGGAGUGUCGGAGAGGCAGGCGGAAUUCCUAGUGUAGCGGUGAAAUGCGUAGAUAUUAGGAGGAACACCAGUGGCGAAGGCGGCCUGCUGGACGAUGACUGACGUUGAGGCUCGAAAGCGUGGGGAGCAAACAGGAUUAGAUACCCCUGUACCU
rnacentral:rRNA from 1 species